rnacentral:lncRNA from 1 species
GUUUUCAACUGAGCUGGUUAUGUGGUUUGAAAGCUAUGAUUUAUAGAGCCCAGGAAUACUGGAAGUUGUCUGGGGAUAUGGACAUUUUCAGAAAUGGUAAAAGGACUUUAUUAUCCACAAUUAUGCUUUUUAUUAAUUUUAUGUAUUGAGAAUGUUAUUAAUGUAUGAUUGACAAAAUGGUUUCAGUAAUAAUUUGAGAAAAACUAAAGUCUGAUGAUCUCUAAGGGUCAGUCAUGCUUCUACCUUCUUUAACAUUGCAAUUUCACCAACAAAUAUGUUUUGCUCAAACUUGUAUGAAAUGAGGAACUACAAAAUCUUCAGUAUUAGAGGAAGCUAAGAGAGUCAUACCAUAAAAAGACACAGAACCAGUUCCACUAGAAGCUAUAUAUGUUGGGGGCCAAUGCUGCAGCGCAGUAGGCUAAGCCUCUGCCUUCUCUGCAGGCAUCCCAUAUGGGUACCAGUUCAUGCCCCUGCUGUUCCUCUUCCAAUCAAACUCCCUACAGAUAGCCUGGGAAAGCAGCAGAAGAUGGCCCAAGUGCUUGGGUCCCUGCGCUCAUGUGGGAGACCAGGAAGAAGCUCCUGUCUCCUGACUUCGGAUUGGCCCAGCUCUGGCCAUUGUGGCCAUUUGCAGACGACAACAGGAUACAAGACCAUUCUCUGUCUCUGACUCUCUUUCUCUGUAACUCUGCCUCUCAGAUAAAUAAAUAAAUUAAUUAAAGGAAGGUGUACAUAUAAUUACUUUCUAGUGAAAUAGUUCCAUUAUUUAGCCUUAAGUUAUUCAUUGUAACACAGAAAAGAUGUGUUUGACUUGCAGGUUAUGAGCAUUAAAGACAAUGAUAAUGCUUCAUAGCAACAGGCACACAGAUGGUAAAUGUAUGCACAAGACUGCUGGUUCCCACUCCCACAUACAUGCACAUACACUGUGUCACACAAUCUGUACCCAGGUGUGGUUCCAGCAUCCCUCCCCACCAGACACCAGGCAACAACUACCAAUCAGAAGAAGUCUUAUUUGGAUAAAACGAUGCACCUUACAUGCAUUUAAUGACACCGCUUUGCAAAGUCCAAGUACUGUGCCGCAGAACUUUGCAGCAUAUGCCGUAAGAAUGGGAACAGACAUCAUCAUUACAUUAUCCAUCUCCUAUCAUUCAAUAUCUGGCAUACUGAAGAUGAUCAAAUGUAUUUGUUGA